rnacentral:rRNA from 1 species
UACAGAGGUCUCAAGCGUUGUUCGGAUUCAUUGGGCGUAAAGGGUGCGUAGGCGGCGCGGUAAGUCGGGUGUGAAAUCUCGGGGCUUAACUCCGAAACUGCAUUCGAUACUGCCGUGCUUGAGGACUGGAGAGGAGACUGGAAUUUACGGUGUAGCGGUGAAAUGCGUAGAUAUCAGGAGGAACACCGGUGGCGAAGGCGGCCCUCUGGACGGAUACUGACGCUGAGGCGCGAAAGCGUGGGGAUCAAACAGG